AUACAAAUACUCUAACACAUAAAGCACAUAUAUCAUAUAUCAUACCUGACCUUUCUGUCACAUAAUCCCUUGCCUUCCGGCCCAUAUAUAAGCAUGUAUAACACGCGUAGCAGCUAACUUUUCAUUCAUAGCAUAUAAACAUAACACAUAACAUACUUGACCUUCCGGUCACACAAUCAAACCCUUCCGGGUGAGGUAUAGUGAGAAGACUCACCUCGCGGACACUAGAAGAUAGCAACUCCUAAAAUCCCUUGCACUUGAUCCUCCGAGCUACAAGCUCCCUGUAACAUCAUAUAUCCCUUAUUUAAUACUUCUAUCUUCCACGUUAACUGACCCUAAGAAAUCACACCAGUCAACUCUGGUCAACAGUCCAUUGUCAGCUCGACUGGACUCGGCGAGUUCCCUGGCGACUCGGCGAGUCUGGUCGUCCUUCAAUCCUCUAAGAUUCCCCUUCUACUCGUCGAGUAUCCUCUUUGACUCGACGAGUCACUCCUGGAAGAAUCGCGGGGCCACCCCGACUCCACUCGCCGAGUCUGAAGAACAACUCGGCGAGUCCCAGUGAAUCUUCAAGCUACUCGCCGAGUCUGAUCAUCCGACUCGGCGAGUCCACGCCAUGCAGUCGAUCCAACUGCUUCCUGAGAUACGUUUUUCCCGAGAUACACACUCAUGGGACUUCUGGACCUCUAAUCAUCCUAUUACUAGGGUAGAAACCUUUGUAUAACAACAUAAUAAUCCAUCAAAUCCCCAAAUGGGUUUCAUAAACCCUAAAUUCGUGUACACAUCAAAAUAACAGGAAUGAUCCGAAACAUAACCUGAAAACGUACUCUCUGUGUCCCCAAACCUCAGAACUCGACCCCCUUGCUCUUCCUUUGGCCAAAAUCCUUCCUCUUCUUGCACCACAAUUCCUUCAAAGUCAAUAAUGGCCUUCAAGUUUUGCUCCAGAUGCCACAGUCGUCUAGGGUUCUCCACAAUCGGCCAAAAGACGUGAAAUGACGACAUAACAACCCUUAAAUACGACCCAAUACGAAACGGCUAGGGUUUCUGCUGAACAGCGUCGACUCGCCGAGUCCAUACCUGGACUCGUCGAGUCCAGUCGCGAACCCGCGACCAAAUCUGCGACCCUACUCGGCGAGUCUGGCUCCAACUCGCCGAGUCUCCCCUUUAAAACACCCCAAAAUGCAAUUUAACAAUACUUGAGAUUUUGGGCUGUUACAAUUCUCCCCCACUAGAAUUAGACUUCGCCCUCGAAGUCUCACUCUGAAAAUAGUUCUGGAUGCUGCUCCCGCAUCACACGUUUCGGCUUCCCUAAACACUUCCGAUAUCUUCCGAGGUCGCUACUGAACCAAUACCAGAGGUACCUCCUUGUUCCUCAGAACCUUGAUCUUCCGAUCUCCGACGGCCACUGGCCUCUCGACGUAACACAGGCUCGCAUCCACCUAAUCGUUCUCUAGUAGAACCACUGCUGACUCAUCCGCUAUACACCUCUUCAACUGCGACACAUACCAGUGUCAUGGAUCCGUCCCAAUUCCGUUGACAGCUCCAAACGAUAGGCCACCCUUCCUACCUUCGCACCUUCACGAAAAGACCCAACAUACCGGGGCCCCCCAUUUACCCCUCUUCCUAAAUCGAAGCACCCCGUCAGAAAUACGAAGUCGCUGACCUGAAUCACAUGCUCGUAACGGCGUCUGCCUGCAUAACUUUCCUGUUAACUCUAGACGAUCACUAACUCUCUUUAACCUGCUGAGUCUGCUUUGUCAACUAAAGUACGAACUCUGAACUGCUCAUCACUCUCUGUAAUCGGAAAUUACCCAAGAUGCACUCUGCUCCAAAUCUCAACGAUCACUCAACCCAUAAGGGUUAGGAAACCCUGAACCACCGGAUCCCCGAUCCAAAGCCCACUUUGCCCAUUCCGGACCGACUGAGAGAUCCGUUCUCCCUCUCAGAUCAACUCUCACAAGUUCCCUCUUGCCAUCACAUACACAUACUGAACUAGUCCCAACACCCGCAGGUGGAAAGACCCGAUACACUGAUGAUAUCCUCGAACAUCUCCCAAGAUGAACCACUACAUCCACCCUACACUCUGAUCAGAUUCACACUGAGAAUUUAAAAUUUUCUCUCUCCAUGCAUCCCUUCUGAGCCUCAACAGACAUCCCAACCGGAUGGGUUCCUACUCCACUGCCGCGAACACGAUGCUCAAAACCAUACUCGAAAUACUCUAACCAUAACUCUGCUCUGCAGCUUUCACUUUCGUGAACUUGCACCCCCUUCGGAGUUACAUACCCUCCUCUUUUCCUUUUCCACGGAACUCUCUUGAACAUAAUGCCACUCCAACCGGUGCCACGGUGCUCGCCCCAAGCGACACCACCCUUUUUGCGUAACUGCUAUUCACAUACUCUGGUUCUCAUUGCAGGGGCUCUCAAUCCCAUGCACUCUCUCCACUCAUCAAAAUCACUGCCUCCGCUAAACAAGAUCAAUAACCCGGGGCCAGACCUUCCAAUGCAAUCACACUGCAACAUACGCGAUCCGCAAAUCUCAAACUAAUCCAGCAAUACCAACAGAGUCUCCAGUAUGACUGGACCGACUCUCAUAACACAUACUAGCCACUCGAGGCUAUAUCUCUGUGGGUCCGUACACCCAAACUCUGCGAACCCUCAGGUUCUAACUCUGGGAACCUUCCGGUUCCAGCUCUAGAAACAUGCACAACAUAAUCCCGUGGGAUUAAUGCAGUACAACCCAUCACGUACCUCAAACGUACCAAUACUCUGAUCGCAAAAUUCCGAUUACUUACUCAAGCUUGAUCCCGACCUCCUCUCAGGCCUCCACAAUCAAAUGCCCUAGGUCUGUAUCUCGCCCCGCAUACUCAACACUCGCUCUCGUCGGCCUAUACUUUGCGCUGACAAACACUGCUGAAUCCCAACAGCUAAGCACCCUUACAUACUCAUCGAUCUCCCGGAGAAUUUUACAAUUCUCCCCCACUAAAGCACUGACUAACUGCCACCGAUCGUCAUUAACGACCUUUCAGAACCAUCCUGCACAAAGAGAACAUUUACCCACUGACUGCUUCCCACAAGCGUAAGCAACCCUCAGCAAAACACAUCUCCUCCCUGAUCAAUCCGCUCAAAAGAAUCCGAUCUUUCAAUUAUCCACUCCACAACUGCAGAUGCUACCCGUCAUUCAACCCAGUGCCGCAUCUCCACUAUCAACCCUCACGAACGAUGACCAACGGAAUUCCCAAGCAAUAACCCAUAACCAAACCCACAACCUGCCAAAGGUUGAAUAUCGCAUCGAAAACCGCACAAGGCUACCGGUACCAAAACACCAAACUAUAAUCAUACUAAACCAUCAGGGAACAACGAAUGCCAAGCGAAAACCUGAAGCACCAAUCCAUAACCAUGCCAAACCCGCGAAACAACGAAUACCGCAUCGAAAUCCACACCAGACACCAGCACAAACAAUACGCCACAAUCAACGCAAGCUACUCAAGACAUCAAGAGAGCAUCAUACCCGCAGCUGCCUCCGGCACUGCUCCGUCUCCCUCUGCCGCAAGCCGAUAAGCACGACCCUGAGCCCUUGGGCUCUGCUCCAUCCUGUCCUCCUCCUGAACUCCUCAAGGUGGCCGAUGCUAGAGCCUGCACCGGUCCUGCAGGAAACUGUGGACGGUUGACCCUCAAAUGUCCAACCUGCCGACACUGAUAACAAAUCCUGAAAUCCCGAAUUGGCACUGACUGCCGACAAUCCCGUGCACCAUGCCCCUCCUUUCCGCACUUGCGGCAUGCACCACUGGGCCAACAAGCUCCGGUGCCAUCUCUCUCACACUUCCCACAAGUGUGACCGCUCCGAUCCCCCAUUCUAACGUCUACGGUCAUGGACCGUUUCGGCGCCGACUGCGACUGCAUCGGGGCCUGCCUCAUCUCACGCAACUGCAACUCAACCUCUAACUCACGCCACAUGGCGGCCUCCUGCGAUACCAACACGGUCUCGCGCCUCUGCGCAGACACGAACUGUCUGAUACCCCCCCUUGAGCAUACUCGGAUAUCGGGACAUCUGAGCCUGCUCCGAAGCGAACUCAGGGCAAAACAUCGCCCUCUCAAUAAACAUCCCGGUGCUCUCAGUCACCGACUCCAAAUCCUGCUUCAGCUUAAGGAACUUCCGAGCCAAUUUCUCCUUUUCAUCCCGCGGAACAUAGCGAGUACUGAACAUCCCUCUGAAUUGAUCCCAUGAAACCGCAGCCCUCUGCGCAUCGGAAAAUGACCUCGUGGUCAAUCUCCACCAAUCCUUCGCCCCGAGCCUCAAUAGGUUCAGAGCACACCCCACCCUCUGAUCAGCAGGGCAUAAACUCGUGGAGAAACACCCCUCCAUGUCUGAUAACCAUCUCAUAGCAACAAUCGAGUCCUGAACUCCAUCGAAUGUGGGAGGCUUCGCAUAAUAGAAGUCCCGAUACUGAAAACCCCGACUAGCCCCUUUCUUUGCCGUUGCUACAGCCGCUGUAACCGCCGCGGCAGCCGUCUCUGCGAAAGCCGCAUAUCGCUCAUCAAACUACUUCAAUCAUAGUGGUCCUGAUCGACCCAAACAAUUCUGGCGACUCAGCCCGCAACAAUGCAGCAACCUCAUCACGCCGGAUCUCGCGAAUCCUCGCAUCCCGCUCGCUCGUGCUCGUCCGAUCGAUAACCGGAUAACAAGAUAGCCACAAGCAUCAUCCACUACGAACCAUGGUACUCAUCCCAUGACAUCCCUCCUCAACAUGCUUCGGUGUAUGGUACCUGAACCAUAGCACCAUUCCUCAAUCUGCUCCAAUGUAUAGCACUCGAACCACAACAUCUAUCUCAAUCUGUUCCGAUGUAUGGUGCCCUGACCAUAACAUCACUCUGUAUCCGCUCCGAUGUAUGGUAUCCGAACCAUAACAUCACCCCUCAAUCUGUUCCUUAGGACCUUCAGAAUGCCCCCUGUAUCAAGUAUGGGUCCUCUGCUUUCAGUAGUACGGGCCCAUACUACCUGCCACAUCUACCCAUACUUUCCACACGGACCAUCCCAGAGUUCCUAAGUAGCUGAUAAACCUGCUCUUUCACCCAUCUCAUCGCGCGUGCUCGCUUUCCAGCGAAAUCCUCUACUCUACCAGCGCACUCAUCUGGCUAGGUUUACUCCCUAGUCCCUUCCGCUGUCCUCCCACUUCUUUGCUAUCAGCUGCUGAAGAGUUCCUAAUGAUGCCAGCCCUCUACCUCCUGAGUAUCGUCAUACUCACUUAGUAGCUGACUCCCAUCAUCGAUAACUCCACAAAGCACAAAGCAAGCAGCAUUCGAGCAUUGAAGCAUACAUAGGACUCCCCAUCUGUGGUAGCUCCACCUUCUCGGCUCAUCCUCGGAAGUACCUCUGUACCCCGUAGCUUUACCCCUUGUGCGUUCUAACUAGAUACUCUCACUCAUCACAUACACACAAAAGCAUAACGCACAUAUAACAGCAAACCCUAGACUAAGGCAUCACAAAUCAGGCCACUCUAGUCCUAAGAUGUGAAAUACCUAGCCUGUCUCUAGCAUGCAAUAAUGUCUCAUAAAGUGCAUAAUAGAUAUUUCAUAAUACAAAAGUAAGGGUAUUUUGGGAAAUCACCGUUUGGCUCUGGCUGAUUGUACACACUGCUCUUUCUUGCUUUCUCUUUGAACUCUUAUUCACUUUUAGAAAACCAUUUAUUUGGAAAACUUUUUCUUACUUCCUCAGUUUGAGUCCAGAUUUACCCGUAGGCGCGUCCGAAUCCCUCAAACCAAGGCUCUGAUACCAAUUUGUAACACCGUGAUUUCCAAAAACAAAAUUUUCAUUUAAAUAAUCAAUUUAAUAUUAAAAACACUUGUUUAAAAUCUUAUUCACAUUCGAAUUACAAAACAUAGUUUCAUUUUCAUUAUAAUAGAAGACCAGGAUCCUCCAAAACACAACUCUUUCUUCGGUGUGUACAAUCGAACCGUUGCCAUCCCGCGUUACUGUAAGAACCUGAAACAACAUAACAUAAACAACGUAAGCACGAAGCUUAGUGAGUUCCCCAAUAUACCUUACGCACAUACGCCAUCCGGCCCGGACCGUUCGGUCCACAUAACAUUGCCUUCCGGCCCGGAUCUUUCGAUCCACAUAAUAUCGCCUUCCGGCCCGGAUCUUUCGAUCCACAUAAUAUCGCCUUCCGGCCCGGACCUCUCGGUCCACAAGAUAAUUGCCUUCCGGCCCAUACACAUAUAUAACACAUAAUACAAAUACUCUAACACAUAAAGCACAUAUAUCAUAUAUCAUACCUGACCUUUCUGUCACAUAAUACCUUGCCUUCCGGCCCAUAUAUAAGCAUGUAUAUCACGCGUAGCAGCUAACUUUCCAUUUAUAGCAUAUAAACAUAACACAUAACAUACUUGACCUUCCGGUCACACAAUCAAACCCUUCCGGGUACAGUAUAGUGAGAAGACUCACCUCGCGGACACUGGAAGAUAGCAACUCCUGAAACCUCUUGCACUUGAUCCUCCGAGCUACAAGCUCCCUGUCUCAUCAUAUAUCUCUUUUUAAUACUUCUAUCUUCCACGUUAACUGACCCUAAGAAAUCACACCAGUCAACUCUGGUCAACAGUCCAUUGUCAGCUCGACUGGACUCGGCGAGUUCCCUGGCGACUCGGCGAGUCUGGUCGUCCUUCAAUCCUCUAAGAUUCCCCUUCUACUCGUCGAGUAUCCUCUUUGACUCGACGAGUCACUCCUGGAAGAAUCGCGGGGCCACCCCGACUCCACUCGCCGAGUCUGAAGAACAACUCGGCGAGUCCCAGUGAAUCUUCAAGCUACUCGCCGAGUCUGAUCAUCCGACUCGGCGAGUCCAUGCCAUGCAGUCGAUCAAACUGCUUCCUGAGAUACAUAUUUUCCCGAAAUACACACUCAUGGGACUUCUGGACCUCUAAUCAUCCUAUUACUAGGGUAUAAACUUUUGUAUAACAACAUAAUAAUCCAUCCAAUCACCAAAUGGGUUUCAUAAACCCUAAAAUCGUGCACACAUCAAUAUAGCAGAAAUGAUCCGGAAUAUUACCUGAAUAACACCCCCUUUGUGUCUCCAAACCUCAGAACUCGAUCCCCUUGAUAUUCCUUUGGCCAAAACUCUUCUUCUUCUUGCUUAACAAAUUCUUCAAGGUUCCAAAAGCUUCUUCUCCUGCCCUAGACGUCCACAACGAUUAAGGGUCCUUCUCAGUCGGCCAAAAGGCGAACAAUGGAGGCAUAAGAUCCCUUAAAUACUUCCCAAACCGAACGGCUAGGGUUUUCCACUGAACAGCGUCGACUCGCCGAGUCCAUACCUGGACUCGUCGAGUCCAGUCGCGAACCCGCGACCAACUCUGCGACCCUACUCGGCGAGUCUGGCUCCAACUC
rnacentral:lncRNA from 1 species